AGUACUUGUGGGAAUUACUUUUCAUAAUUGAUUCAGUUUAUUUAAUCAUUACAGAACUAUUCUGCCAGUUUUGCUGUCAUUUUGCAAUUCGACAGUUUCAUCUAAACUCCCUAGCUCCUUAUCAUACAGCUAUUCACAGAACCAUCUCUCUCUGUCUCUCUCUCUCUUUUUGGUUUGGUACUAGAGAUCGAACUCGGGACCUUGCGCUUACGAGGCAGGCAGCAGCACCACUGAGAAAUGUCUGCACGGGUGGCUGUCCCCUGCUCCCUCUGGCUUGCCCUGCCCUCUUGCAUCCAGGAGACCCUGAGGACCCCCCCGCACCCCAGGCAGGCCCACCACGGACAGCCAGUUUGGCCUUGCGGUCAGACGUGGGUGGCUGCGCCCUGCUUCCUCCGGCUUGCCCCAGACCACUGUACUUGAUAGUUUCUGUUUGCGGGAAUAAGGUCCUUGGCUGUACUGUGCCCUGAAAUCUGUGUACACACCUCUGCUCAUUUGCUUGGAGUAAUUUCUUCAUCAUGGAAACUCUGCAAGCCCUGGACUCCACUGGGAGUUUGACUUCCGAGUGGCAUUUAGACCACAGUGGCACCCAGCUGACACCCUGGGCCUUCGUGGCACCUUUGCUUCUUACAGAAGCUUCCAUCCGAAGCUCUUGUCUCCAACCUCAGCGGCCAGUUUCUCAGUGAGGGAGCCUCCUCCCUGUUCCCCUUGUCUUAUCCAUGUGCACCUUCUCCCGGCAAGUGUGACUGAAGUUCCGACCAGAAAGGGUCAUUUCUUCCAAGUUACACAGCAUCUGGCCUGCAGUGCUGGUCUUCAACCGCCUUUCACAGCUAAAAGACAUCCAGGUGGAUGGCACUUCCGCU
rnacentral:lncRNA from 1 species